ACGGAGCAACGCCGCGUGAGUGAAGAAGGUCUUCGGAUCGUAAAACUCUGUUAUUAGGGAAGAACAAAUGUGUAAGUAACUAUGCACGUCUUGACGGUACCUAAUCAGAAAGCCACGGCUAACUACGUGCCAGCAGCCGCGGUAAUACGUAGGUGGCAAGCGUUAUCCGGAAUUAUUGGGCGUAAAGCGCGCGUAGGCGGUUUUUUAAGUCUGAUGUGAAAGCCCACGGCUCAACCGUGGAGGGUCAUUGGAAACUGGAAAACUUGAGUGCAGAAGAGGAAAGUGGAAUUCCAUGUGUAGCGGUGAAAUGCGCAGAGAUAUGGAGGAACACCAGUGGCGAAGGCGACUUUCUGGUCUGUAACUGACGCUGAUGUGCGAAAGCGUGGGGAUCAAACAGGAUUAGAUACCCUGGUAGUCCACGCCGUAAACGAUGAGUGCUAAGUGUUAGGGGGUUUCCGCCCCUUAGUGCUGCAGCUAACGCAUUAAGCACUCCGCCUGGGGAGUACAACCGCAA
rnacentral:rRNA from 1 species